CCUACGGGUGGCAGCAGUGGGGAAUAUUGCACAAUGGGGGAAACCCUGAUGCAGCGACGCCGCGUGAGUGAAGACGUAAUUCGUUAUGUAAAGCUCUAUCAGCAGGGAAGAAAAUGACGGUACCUGAGUAAGAAGCUCCGGCUAACUACGUGCCAGCAGCCGCGGUAAUACGUAGGGGGCAAGCGUUAUCCGGAUUUACUGGGUGUAAAGGGAGCGUAGACGGCAGUGCAAGUCUGGAGUGAAAGGCGGCGGCUCAACCCCCGAACUGCAGUGGAAACUGUACGUCUGGAGUGCAGGAGAGGUAAGUGGAAUUCGUGGUGUAGCGGUGAAAUGCGUAGAUAUUAGGAAGAACUCCAGUGGCGAAGGCAGCUUACUGGACUGUAACUGACGUUGAGGCUCGAAAGCGUGGGGAGCAAACAGGAUUAGAUACCCUAGUAGUC
rnacentral:rRNA from 1 species